CCCUUGUUUUGUUGGAACACGGUAAAGGUAAAUCCCUCAGCAGUCUUUACUGGAAAAACCUGAAAACCCUUAAGAGUUGUAGUACUUGCAGGUUUAUUUGCUUUGAGCUUUUUAGAAGGAUAAAGCUGUGGCUGGAUGACAGAAAAUCCUUAUCCUAAGCAGGAGGAAAAGGUUUCUGCCGCUGCGUCCAAGCUCUCCCCGUGUGAGUGAGACCUGGCAGCUGUACAGCUCCGGCUGGAAAUGAUGCUUUGGCAGCUCUCAGCCCUAACAAAUUACCAGCUCUGCAGAAAGCAGCAAGUAACGAGGAGUUACAAGCAGACCCCAGGCUCUCCAGAGAACCCUCGGGGGAUGCUGAAGUGUCGUCGGCUUUAAGCUUCGAGAUGAUCCUGGCGGUUUCCUCCGUGAUCUCAAAGUGUUUGAGUUGCUGUUUGCUUCCUGAGCGGCCCCUGAGCGUGCUGGUGUCAGGCGAGCUGUUCCUGCUCCGAGUCCUCUCCCCCAGGACAUCCUUUGCCGUGGAGCUGCUGUUGGCAGGGCUGCCUUCUGCACCGGCGUCCAUGGCCAUGCUGGAUAACGUGGUAGUCCUCAAGGGCAAACUGGAAGGCUUGGGAAUGACUGGUUUCGUUUUUGCCUGCACGCGGAUGUAUUUCACGGGCUGCCGACUGAAAUGGCACCUGGGCUGGGUGCCGAGGACAGUGUCCGAAUCGCUGUCGGUCUUCUCCUGCACGGAAUCCUCCAGGUCCUCCAGCUCGGAGCCAGUGCUUGUAUUCAUCUCUGAACAACAACAACAAAAAAUAGACAGUUAUCUUAGAGCAGUGAGACGGGGUUACUGCAGCAAAUAGUUCUGGCUGAGGAUUUCUGUUGCUGUUAGAAAGGAUGCUGAAAGUCCUGCUGUACUACCAGGCGAAAACUCCUCCCUCUAACAGCUUUGUUCAUUGGAGGAAAUGUGAGAUGCACGCUUGGAAGAGGCACGAGGAAUGAAUCAGGUUUAUAUUCUUAGAGCUGUCCUCGGUACACUGAAGCCAGCAGAGCUGGCGGGUGGCUGUGGGCCUGGGAGCCGAGGCAGCACACACUUUUCCUGUGAGCACCAGAAAACGUGCUUGCGCUGCCAGGCAAGCUUCAUGGUGCUGUUCUGCACUCAGCUAUGAAUAAUUAUGAUGAAAAAGGCCUGGCUACACUUCCCCUGCUGUGUACCAUAGAGGUAGGAGGUGCACGACACAGCCAGCGUGGUACCAGGCAGCCUACACCAGCACCACGACCACCGCUUCGUUUACCUAGGGCAUCCGUGCUUAAUGGGCUGGGGGCUCCCUCCAGAGUCAGCUCACUGACGGCUUCCCUGGAAGACGAGUUAUCAGACACACAGUCCACGCUUAAACCGUGCUGGGAGGAGAAAUUCUGUUGGAAAAAGCCAGGAGCGUUUAUACAGGACACUCAUUUUACAUGAAGAUAGUCAGCUCCCACUUCACCCCGACUGCUGCUCUAGCCCAGUGAAUGGAAGCAAAAACAUAAUUAGAAAAUGCCCUGAUUUGUCUUAGAUUAUCUAUAAUGCCUGGGGGAGAAGGGAGGGAGUGUGCAGAAGGUCCCAGGGCUGGGCCAGAGGAAAAUAUUUUGGUUCAAGAGCAGUGUCCAGGCUGGCAGACCCCAACUGCCACAAAACCCCCCUGGAAAGCGGUUGUGUGCUGGAACUGAGGUUCCUGUGCCCCGUUUCAGGACAGAAAGGGGGAAAUGUCUGAAUCCAAGCAAUUAUAGCACCAAAAUUAUGAUUGAAUGCAGAUGGACAGGUGAGGGAAGGACACGGGGAUGCUUGGGAGCUGGAGCUUGCGUGGAACCAGUGUGAGUCUGCACAAGGACCAGGACACCCGGGCAGGGGCUCCAGAAGUUGGUUUUAUUAAUCACAAAAUGAGUGCCCUUAGAAGCAACUCCCCUUCCUAAAGGCUUGCGACACCUGUAGGAUUCAGUCAUGCUGCGGACGUUUGUAAAAUGCCCUUAAAAAUAGUCCAAGGCAAUAGCUGUGCACAUCUCAGUGCUUUCUUUAUGAACGCUGUGGGAUUUCUGCACACAGGGAUUGAAUUGUGUCUAUGUUGGUGAUUUCUUUCAUUGUUUUUUUCAGCUGUCUUCACAGUUACUCCGGUUUCUGCUUCCUCAGUGUUUCUACACGGCAGGCAUGGGUGUGAUCGUGGCAGACGGGCUGUCUUGCAGGAGGCAGAGAGCCCCAAACCAGGGCUCGACUGCCUUUGGCUUAACUUUAGGAAAGUAAUUUCCUCUUUUUUCACUCAUCACACCAGCCUUGGAAAGGAAAGAGCAGCCAUGUCUGGCUCGGGGGUGUUAUGCCAAUUCUUUUUAAGUGCUGUGAAGUAUGUGUGAACUAUUGUGAGGAGAGAGCCCUCAGGAGAAAAAAAAAAAAAAAAGUAAGGAUCCACGGCCAGGGAUCAGGAAUGCAGCAGAGCCCUGUAGGGUUCCACCAGGGAACCCGCUGGCUCUGAUGUAGCUGCUUCCAAAGUUGUCGAGCUGUUUACACAGGGAAACAGCAGUGUCCCGAGUAAUUUAGCAUGGAGAAACCCACAGUUUUUCAGAAUGACUGGGAUAUAAACCAUGGAGCAAAACCCGCUGUCCAGAGUGGGCUGAGAAGCUGAUGAGUGAUCUCUAGCCUAU